GCCCUCGGUGGCUCAGGUGGUUAGAGCGUCUGCCAUGUAAGUAGGAGAUCCCGGCUUCGAGUCCCGGCCAGGGCA
rnacentral:tRNA from 1 species